rfam:Gossypium hirsutum cultivar TM-1 unplaced genomic scaffold scaffold417.1, whole genome shotgun sequence
UGUUGAAUAUUUCAUCUAUUUCUACUGUUAAAAUUUGGUGUAGCUGGCCGAAUAACCAGACACUUAUGGCGUGUCAUGUUACCUCAUGCUGAUGUACAAGGACCGGUUUUUAACAGUAGAAUUGGAUGAAAGUUUUAACA